CUUGGGGUUAGUACAUCACUGGCCUGCGUGCUCCGCUCCAGGAGGUCUCGGUGAUUCUGCCACAGCCUCAUCCUCCGUCGCCCUGUGACCUACUGGUAUUGGAACAUUCAUAGCUAAGACUCCAGGACACCCACAAAGCCGAGAAAUGCUGAGUUUGCGGGUCAGGGCGUCCGGAGACUGGGGAGGCCUCAUCGGAGUCGGCCGGAAAUGGCGGUGGCGGGACCGAGUCUGUGAGCCUGAGCCCCCCUCAGCUCAGCCCUCAGUCUCCUCUGGUGCAGGGUACCCAGGCGUCCUGUACCGUUUCAGCACAGCGGCUUUGGCCCCAGCCUGUAGCCCUCUUUGCGCAGCUCUGCGCCCGCAUCUUCCCCAGCUUGUGAGGUGAUGAGGAGAGGUUCACCAGGGAAAGACGCCGACUUGGUGUGCAGGGCUUCUGCGUGGAAGGAGCUCUGGUCUGUGGGGUCACCAGUCCCUACUUUAACCUAUUCAGACAUAAACGGAGGCACCAUUAAAACAUUAAAGAAUUUAUAUGAGCAAACAGUGAUGAACCAGUGGGACAGCCCCAGACAUGGUUUGUCGUUUGGGGGCUACCAGCGGGUCUUGAAGAAAAGGCUUUAAGGCAGCUGAGGCUUGCCCUGUGGAGCAUCCCUGCGGGGGACUCUGGCCAGCUUGAGCAACAUGGAUCCUGAGAGCGCUCCCAGAUAGGCAUUUGCCCUGGUGGAAUGCCUUGUUAGAGCGGUG
rnacentral:lncRNA from 1 species